AUGCCGCGGGCGCGAAGGCCGCCCAAUCCUGGCGAGCCCCGCGGGCAGUCGGUGUUGAGUAAAUUUUUCCUGCCUAAGGCAUCUUUGCAGGCGACCACUUCUGCCUCGGUUUCUGCUGCGCUCCUGCCUGCUGAGGAGAGAAGCGGAGGCUGUACGGCGGCUCCAGCUGCUGGUGCUGCUGCUGCUGGUUUACACACGAUUAAUGAACCUGCUGGAAAAAAGAGAAGAAUUGCGGAAAGCAAAGAACAUAUUGCCACAUGUUCAAAGCCUUUGCAGAAUACAAGAAAGAAAGUAUGGAAUACAGUUAACUUGAACACUGGUGAGCCAAAGAAAUGUACCAGUUCAUGGAUAUGUUCAAAAACUUUUGAUAAAUUACGAGAAUUUUCUAGCCACUUGGAGUAUCCAUGUAACAGAACUCAUUCUGAGACUUUUCAUGGAAUCCAAUCUGGAGAUUUGAAAACUUACCAGCAUUCUGCAGCUGGAAAUGUGGAAACUAAUGACAUGCUACAUCCACAGGACACUAAUAAGGAAAAAACAAGCCUUGGUAGAAGCCAGAUUUCUGCAUUGAACAUGGGUUGUGAAAACACGCAAAAUACGCCUAAUGUAUCUCUGAAAAAAAGAACCAAAAGUAUAUAUACGCCGCUUGAGCUCCAGUUCAUAGAAAUGAAAAAGCAAUAUAAAGAUGCUAUUUUAUGUGUUGAGUGUGGUUAUAAAUACAGAUUUUUUGGAGAAGAUGCAGAGAUUGCUGCGAAGGAACUGAACAUCUACUGUCAUCAAAAUCACAACUUUAUGACUGCCAGCAUACCAACUCAUAGACUAUUUGUUCAUGUUCGGCGUCUUGUAGCAAAGGGGUAUAAGCGCGUGUGCCAAAAAAGUAUGAUGAAGGGAGGUUGCUGCGAAGGAAAAGUGGGGGAAAUGAGAGUGAGAGACGAUGACAGAAAGAUAGAAGAGGAAGAAGGCAGCAUGUGUGAGGCUGGGAUAGAAUGGCAUUUAGUGCCCCACUUCAGGGCCCACUCACCUUUGUUUUCAGUGAGCACAAUGAGAUUUGAACAAUACGGACAGUGCGUUCCUUAUCUACAUGGUGAAGUAGGAGUUGUAAAACAAAUGGAAACAGCUGCCUUGAAGGCUGUUGGUGGGAAUAAAAGCUCUCUCUUUACCCGAAAACUAACUGCAUUAUAUACAAAAUCUACAGUUUUAGGAGAAGAUGUGAAUCCUCUGCUGAAGAUUGAUAAUCCUGUAGAUUCAUCAGAUGAAAUGCCAUCUGAUGUCUGCGAUAACUAUCUCCUCUGUAUCUCUGAAAGCAAAGAAAGUUUAAAAGAUAAGAGCAGGAAUACUGUCAUCGGCAUUGUGGCUGUCCAACCCACUACAGGGGAAGUUAUCUUUGAUAGCUUUCAGGAUUCUGGAGCUCGUUUAGAGUUGGAAAGUCAAAUUUUACGCUUACAGCCUGUUGAAGUUAUUCUUCCAAGAGAUGUGUCAGAUCAAACUGAAAAGCUUAUCAAUAAUAUGACUUCUGUAUGUUUACGAGAUGACAGAAUUCGGAUAGAAAGAAUGGAAAACAAUCAUUUUGAGUACAGCAGUGCUUUCCAGCUGAUUACAGACUUUUAUGGCAGUCGAGUUAUUGAUAGCACAGGUUCCCAAGCAUUGUCUGUGAUUUUAAACUUGGAUAAACCAGUGCUAUGUUCCUUUGCUGCUGUAAUCACAUAUCUUAAAGAAUUCAAUUUAGAAAAGAUACUCUACAACCCUAGUAAUUUUAAGAAGUUAUCAAGUGAUGCUGAAUACAUGAUACUUAAUGGGACUGCACUAAAGAAUCUAGAAAUUCUACAGAAUCAAACUGAUAUGAAAACAAAAGGCAGCCUCUUUUGGGUUUUGGAUCAUACAAAUACUCCAUUUGGGCGAAGACUACUAAAGAAAUGGGUGACACAACCUCUCUUGAAAUCCAGUGAAAUUAAUUCUCGACUUGAUGCAAUUUCUGAGACUCUCCUGUCAGAAUCAAGUGUCCUUGGUCAAAUUAAAACUCUUCUAUAUAAGAUGCCAGAUAUCGAGAGAGGAAUCUGCAGUAUUUAUCACAAAAAGUGUUCCACUCAAGAGUUUUAUCUGGUCGUCAACACACUCUCACAGUUGGAAGCAUCAAUCACAGCACUGGUUCCAGCUAUACAGACUCAGGUACAAGCAUCCUUACUGCAGAACAGCCUCUUGGAAAUUCCUGAAUUGCUCAGUUCAUCAACAGAUUUUUUAAGCAUACUUAAUGAAGAAGCUGCAAAAACUGGAGACAAAACACAGCUGUUCAAGGAUCUUGAAGAUUUUCCUUUAAUAAGGAAGAGGAAGGAUGAUAUUCAGGACGUCCUCUAUCAAAUCCAGUUACACCUUCAGGAUAUACAAAAAAUGCUGAAUUGCCCCUUUGCAGAUUAUGUAACAGUAUCGGGACAAGAGUUUCAGAUUGAAGUCAAGAACUCGCUCACAUCUUCCAUACCAUCUGAUUGGAUUAAAGUUAGCAGCACAAAAGCGGUCAGCCGUUUCCACACUCCUUUUAUUGUAGAAAAUUACAGGCACCUGAAUCAGCUACGUGAGCAACUAGUCCUUGACUGCAAUUCUGAAUGGUUACGCUUUUUAGACCAUUUUAGUGAACAUUAUCACUCCAUUGCUAAAGCUGUGGGUCACCUAGCAACUGUGGACUGUGUCUUUUCCUUGGCUGAGGUUGCGAAACAAGGAGACUAUUGCAGACCGGUCAUAAAUGAUGAAAAGUCAGAGAUAAUGAUAAAAAAUGGGAAGCACCCUGUGAUUGACAUGCUGUUGGGAGAGCAAGAGCAGUAUGUUCCAAAUGACACAUACUUAUUGGAGGACAGUCCAAGAGUAAUGAUAAUUACUGGACCUAACAUGGGUGGAAAAAGUUCCUAUAUAAAGCAAGUUGCAUUGAUCACGGUCAUGGCACAGAUUGGUUCCUAUGUACCGGCUCAGGAAGCAAGAGUUGGUAUUGUGGAUGGUAUAUUCACCAGAAUGGGUGCUACAGACAACAUUUUUAAAGGACAUAGUACAUUUAUGGAAGAACUAACAGAUACAGCUGAGAUAAUUAGAAAAGCAACUUCACAUUCGCUAGUAAUUUUGGAUGAACUGGGGAGAGGAACAAGCACGCAUGAUGGAAUUGCUAUUGCUUAUGCUACACUAGAACAUUUUAUUAGAGAUGUGGGUUCACUGACACUGUUUGUCACCCAUUAUCCUCCAGUUUGUGAAUUAGAAAAGGUCUACCCAAGACAGGUUGGGAACUACCACAUGGCUUUUCUGGUGAAUGAAGAUGAUAGUGGAGGAGAAAAGGGAUCUGGAGAUGAAGAAAGUCCAGAAUUUGUCACUUUCCUUUAUCAAAUAACAAGAAGUGUUGCUGCAAGGAGUUAUGGGCUAAAUGUUGCUAAACUAGCAGAUGUUCCUGAUGAAAUUCUGAAAAAGGCAGCUCACAAAUCAAGAGAGCUUGAGAGUUUAGUGAACAUGAAAAGAAAAAGAUUGAUGACAUUUGCUAAACUAUGGAAUAUUAAUGAUUCUGGAGAACUGCAAAAAUGGAAAAGUCUUUGUGAAGCAGAAAAUGAUUGAGCCAACUUUCCAAAUUCCUCAAACUCUGCCAGUUGAAAAUAGAAAUAGAACAGAGCACAGAAGAAGAAAAACUGAGAGGAAGAACCCCCAACUAUGCCAAUGGAGUGGAAAAUUUAUGGACUCAGAGGGCAAGUAACAGAUGACCAGGUGGUUGGAAUACUGGAACUCAGUUCCAAGUGUGGGGCUUAAAUAAAAAGGGCAGGAAAUUUCUCAGCUCGAAGAAUACUCCCUCAAAAGUCUCGAUCCUUUCUGCUUCUCAGGAGGAAAGGUGUCUAAAACUCCUUAGUUUUUUUCACCAGCCAGUUCACAGUUGUUUGUUCCUGCGGGGGAAGGGGUUUGACACAUUUAAGCUCUUGGUGUGUGGGGUUAAUCCCCCCAAUAAGAUAACAUAAAAACAAUGGUAUGUGUUUGAACUUUCUUGAGGAACAAAGGAGAAAAUUGUACAUGGAAUCUGCUGAUCACUGUACAAACAUGCAUACACACAUGCGUGCACGCACACACAAACACACACACACCCAUUAGAUAUAACCUGUUUAUUCCACAAUCCCUUUCCUUCCCUAUAACCUCAGCAAAAAAUGAUGAAAACAUUAAACUGAUCCUUCACUUACUAUUAACUCUUGAAUCUUUAGGUCUAGAUGAAAAGGAUCUGAGACUGAGCACCAGUACCCCCUCACAAACACCCCUACCCCCAGAAAACAUAACAAAUAAAUGUUACAUAUCAAGUAAGUGCCAAGUUAGAGUAGGAACUCCUGACUUUGUUGCUAACUUUUGUGUUUUCACCAUGCUCAGGUAACACAUACACAACAGGGAUAUACUGAAACAUUUUGUUGGGAGUCCAUACCUGUAGAUCUAUAUAUUCUGCAGCUCAUGUGGGUGAGAGGACUGGACCAGGAAUGUGUCCCUCUCAUCCAUCCUAUUUUGCAUACAUUGAGGUUCCCCAGAGUUACUGAUUGUCCUUUAUGGGGGUGUUCACAUCUGCUGUAAUUGGCCAUUAAGCAUAAGUGUUUUGCCCUCUGGGUACUUCAGCUCUCUAACAGUAAGGAGUACUAGGGUGUCACCAGUAUUUAGCUGGACUGAGAAGUUAUGGAAGGUGGGACUCAGGGAUACUGAGGCCAGCAGACAGUUUGACAAAGAUGGUCACCACUGACAAAGUUGCAGGGACUUGCGAAGGGGAAACUAGUAUUCGUGACAGGAGAGGGCCAAACAGCAAGUUGAAUUAUUGCUGUUUGGUCUUGUGCUUUGUCCUUGACUUGCUUAGUGGUUAAGUUCCUUGAAUUUCCCCCAGUGUGGGGGAAAACACGCAGCAGAAGCAGUCUGGCCAAUGUUCCACUGGGUUUGUAGCAAAGUCUGGCAGGUCAUCACGACUGUCCUUAGAGAGCCCUGGCGGGGUGUGCGGCCCAAGGCAAAUCAGCCAGGGCAGAGCCCCCUUCCAGUUAAUUCUAAUGGGGGUUAAAAGAGCAGGGCCCGGGGCGGUCGCCCUGCUUGCCAUACCCUAAGGACAACCCUGCUCAAAGCCAUGUUGACUGUUAUGCGUUUUCAGUAAAGUUGUGGCCAUUUUAAAAUCCAGUACUGGCAUUUAUUUAUUUCUUAAUUUAACUCUACAAAACCUCUGCAUUGCACAUCUGUUUGUGUGUGUGUUUCUUAGUCUCAGUCUGGUAUUAUCCACCUCCCCAGUCUGCAAUGCAGAUACACAGGAGAUCAGUGAGGGCUAAGAAUAUUCAACAAGUUCUUUGUGACAAUCAAAUGCACUGUCUGAGCAUAUGUAAUCCCUCAGUACUGCUGCACAGAUUUUGUACAAGCAUUUAAUUGAUCUUGGGGCUGUGGGGGGAAGAGGAAUCUUUAAAAUGUACUUCUCCAUCAAAGUAUGGUGUAAUAAGAUUUAUUUAUUUAUUUUACAUAUUUUUAUACCGCCCAAAACGUACGUCUCUAAAGCACCUUAGGAUCUAUAUGUGGAAAAUUAAAGAGAGUAGUUGACAUGAGGAAAAUUACUCAAAGUAAUCCCACUGAAUCUUAAGGACAAAUUAGUGCCUUUUUCUCAUCAUCUAGACACUGGCUGACACUCUGACUACACUGCAUCAGAGGCGCUCUGCUCUUACCCUGGACCUUGGGGCCCUGGUCAGUGGCCUGCAUGGUCUGGGGAGCCUCCUGCAGCCACCCUGCUGCACCGUACCUCCUUUUUGUUUUUUGCAUAAUUUAAACCACCAUGUGUGCAGCCAAGGGGUGGCUGAGCUGAGCAGGACUCCCCCCCCCCCCCGCCCAGCGGCACUGGCAGCUGCCGGAGCAACCCCUGGGCCUGUCCGAUCCA